rnacentral:rRNA from 1 species
AUUGAACGCUGGCGGCAUGCCUUACACAUGCAAGUCGAACGGCAGCACGGGAGCAAUCCUGGUGGCGAGUGGCGAACGGGUGAGUAAUAUAUCGGAACGUGCCCGGUCGUGGGGGAUAACGUAGCGAAAGCUACGCUAAUACCGCAUACGAUCUACGGAUGAAAGCGGGGGAUCGCAAGACCUCGCGCGAUUGGAGCGGCCGAUAUCAGAUUAGGUAGUUGGUGAGGUAAAGGCUCACCAAGCCGACGAUCUGUAGCUGGUCUGAGAGGACGACCAGCCACACUGGGACUGAGACACGGCCCAGACUCCUACGGGAGGCAGCAGUGGGGAAUUUGGACAAUGGGCGCAAGCCUGAUCCAGCAAUGCCGCGUGCAGGAUGAAGG